rnacentral:rRNA from 1 species
UACGUAGGGCGCAAGCGUUGUCCGGAAUUAUUGGGCGUAAAGAGCUCGUAGGUGGCUUGUCACGUCGGGUGUGAAAGCUUGGGGCUUAACUCCAGGUCUGCAUUCGAUACGGGCUGGCUAGAGGUAGGUAGGGGAGAACGGAAUUCCUGGUGUAGCGGUGAAAUGCGCAGAUAUCAGGAGGAACACCGGUGGCGAAGGCGCUCUGCUAGGCCGUAACUGACACUGAGGGACGAAAGCGUGGGGAGCAAACAGG